GAAAUUUUUCAAUGGCAUUUUCGCACUUGAAUCAUCAUUCAAAGUGCAAGAAAAAGAAAAAGGGUCGACUGAUGAUGAAUUUCUUAUAAUCUUUUUUGAGGGUGGUUGAAGCAUUAACAAAAAGUAGUAAAAUUUUAGGUAGGACGUUGAUGGAGUUGGAUUAUCAUACCCGUGAAAGUAAGUAAUCUUAUUUUGCAUUAUCCAUAGCCCUACCUUCAUCACCUUUCUUAUCUUCUAUACAUAAUUCCAUCUCUGUGUCUCUAUAUAUCUGUACUUCAAUAACCAAAGAAAAGACACCCUCAUCACCAAGUCCUUAUUGAGGUUCCAGGGCUUUGCAGGACCAAAGAAGAGCAGAAAGAAAGAAUGGACAGUGGUCAAAUAUUCGACAAGACUAAUAAGCAGGUGGAGAUUCCAUCAGAGGCUGAGAACAUUUCUGGUGGUGUUACUAAACCCCAAACGACGCCUACUUCUGGGUCUGCUAUGCCUCAGCUUACAAGACAGCCAAGUGCUACAAAGAACAAUUGCCUAUGCUCUCCAACUUCCCAUGCUGGUUCAUUCCGGUGCAGGCUUCACCGUGCCCCGAGUCUCCAACGAACCAAAAGCAUCGACUCGACUUCUCUCAGGGACUCGACCACUGCCACAGCUAAUGAUCCUGCAGCUAGUAAUGCAAACAUUGAUGAGGCCUAGUAAUUCGCAUCUGUUGUGCUAUGCUGCUCUGUUUAUGGUUGUUUACUUUGGUUUAUUUACUGUUUUCUUUAUCAUCUUCUUUUCCUCCCUCCUUGUAUAGAUUAUAUAAGUUUAAAUUAAUAAAAUGCAUGUGUACACAACACAAGCAAAGUGAAGCUUUUUACCAUUUGAUUUCAAUCUUUUAAAAUAAAACUGAAGUUGUUU
rnacentral:misc_RNA from 1 species